UACGGGGGGAACGAGUGUUAUUCGUAAUGAUUGGGCGUAAAGGGUUUUUAGGCGAUUUGGCAAGUUAUUAAUCAAAUAGUAAGUUCCAAGCUUACUUAUGGGGUUUUAAUACUGUCUUAGUAGAGUUCGAAAGAGGUAUUACGGUACUCUCGAUGUAGAGGUAAAAUUCACAAAUAUUGAUGGGGACCAUCACUAGGCGAAGGCGGUAAUCUGGUUCGAUACUGACGCUGAAAGACUAAAGCAUGGGGAGCAAACGGG
rnacentral:rRNA from 1 species